rnacentral:tRNA from 1 species
GCCCCUGUAGCUCAGAGGAGAGAGCAGCGGUUUCCUAAACCGCGUGUCGGGGGUUCGAGUCCCUCCAGGGGCGCCU